AACCAUGCAUGGUGCGCACAGCGCAGUACCGGAUGUUACUGCAACAUCUUUUAGUACUUCCAAAAGUUACAGCAGCACUAUAGUGGCAUGCAUAGAUGUACCCUCUAUAGAGGAAACAGAGGCAUGGAGGUUACGGGCUAAAUUUUAAAGGGGAUUUAAUGAUCUCAAGAUAGAGACAGGCACAUAGAUGAUUUUGAAAAUCCAAUUAGGCUCCUGACUCCCAUGGGUGUCAUUUCUAAGGGACUUGCAGGAAGUGUGGAGUGGAGCAGAGUCCUCCUUGACCACCAGACUCAUCUCUUAACUAUAAGACAAAACGCCCUGUUCUCCCGCCCCCCAAAACAGUUUUACGGUGCAUGUUAAGGAGGUAUCUUUCUGUCCACCAGGAGUCAUUUACUUUAUGCCGUAUUUGUGAGUUUCACUGUUUACACACAUUAAUUUAAAGUAUCUCCCCCAUUUUCUCUGCAAAUUACUGCAUUCAGAUGAAGUGGCAGCUGCUGUAAUUAAGACACAGUUAAUUACAUAUCCCCUUAAUUGCAAUGAUAGCAUUUUGUCAAUUUUGUAAAUAAGAAUUGUUAGGUUUCCUCCGGCAACUUCAGCCUCAGCAGAACUCAGAUCCUUAUCCUGGUCGCCCCUAGCAAAUGCUGAGUCAUACAGAUAUUGUGACAUAGACCUAGUAUCAGCUGGAAAAGGCAAGAAAAAAAUCCUCUUAUUAGGUUACAAUCAAGCUUGAAACCACCAGCAGCGGCUGGUACUCUUCACUGACUGAACCAUUAGGCAGGGAUUCACAUAGAUUUCCAUGUGCAUGUGUGAGUAGUUGAAAAGGGAUACUAUGUCUGGCUCAGCCUCAGCUAUCAAACUACGUCAGUUUGUAGAUCCUGCACCAAUCCUACCUCCAGGGUAAAGUAUCUAGACACACAGGUGCACACACAAAUGUGGUUCAGGGUGUCAGAGUAGUCAACAGUGAAACAAAUAUUCUGCAUAAGACUCAUUAUGGUUUUAGAAGCGUUAUGUAAAAAACCUGCCCUGGGAUUUCUGAAAGUGAAAAGAUUGUGUUUAUGAUAUAAAUUCACAGCAUCUUUAGGUCGUCAAUAAUGUUUAAACUACUAUUUUCAGUGCAAUUUUUGUUUCGAGAGAAACACAAUGACACCUAGCAAAGUUGUACUAAAUCCUAGUACAGAAUCCUAUGGGUUCUGUAUUUAAGAAUGUAACAAAGGCAAAAAACUCACUCAUUGCCUGGGUGUCAGUUUAGAAGAAAUUAGAAUGGACCCGUCUCUAGGUUCUUUAGCCACUCCCAACUCUUAAGUCCAGGAUAGAAUUAAAUAAGCAUAUCAAGACAAACAUUUGUCCUAUCAAGUUGGGGUAAGACAACAGAAGAAUCCAGCCACUCACUCUUUCAUAACCUCCAUGUAAAACAUUAGUAAAAUGUAAAAACAAGACUAUUUUGUACAAAAUCU